UACGUAGGGGGGCAAGCGUUGUCCGGAAUUACUGGGCGUAAAGCGCGUGUAGGCGGGACGGCAAGUCGGACGUGAAAGGCUGGGGCUCAACCCCAGAUCGCCGUUCGAAACUGCCGUUCUUGAGGGUCGAAGAGGAGAGUGGAAUUCCUGGUGUAGCGGUGAAAUGCGUAGAGAUCAGGAGGAACACCAAUUGCGAAGGCAGCUCGCUGGGACGUUACUGACGCUGAUGCGCGAAAGCGUGGGGAGCAAACAGG
rnacentral:rRNA from 1 species